rnacentral:rRNA from 1 species
GACGAACGCUGGCGGCGUGCUUAACACAUGCAGGUCGAACGGAAAGGCCCUUCGGGGUCCUCGAGUGGCGAACGGGUGCGUAACACGUGGGUGAUCUGCCCUGCACUUUGGGAUAAGCCUGGGAAACUGGGUCUAAUACCGAAUAGGACCACGCGCUUCAUGGUGUGUGGUGGAAAGCUUUUGCGGUGUGGGAUGGGCCCGCGGCCUAUCAGCUUGUUGGUGGGGUAAUGGCCUACCAAGGCGACGACGGGUAGCCGGCCUGAGAGGGUGACCGGCCACACUGGGACUGAGAUACGGCCCAGACUCCUACGGGAGGCAGCAGUGGGGAAUAUUGCACAAUGGGCGCAAGCCUGAUGCAGCGACGCCGCGUGAGGGAUGACGGCCUUCGGGUUGUAAACCUCUUUCAAUAGGGACGAAGCGCAAGUGACGGUACCUAUAGAAGAAGCACCGGCCAACUACGUG